AGAGGGUGCAAGCGUUAAUCGGAAUUACUGGGCGUAAAGCGCGCGUAGGCCGUCGAGUAAGUCGGAUGUGAAAUCCCCGGGCUUAACCUGGGAAUUGCAUUCGAUACUGCUUGGCUAGAGUGUGGAAGAGGGAAGCGGAAUUUCCGGUGUAGCGGUGAAAUGCGUAGAUAUCGGAAGGAACACCAGUGGCGAAGGCGGCUUCCUGGUCCAAUACUGACGCUCAGGUGCGAAAGCGUGGGGAGCAAACAGGAUUAGAUACCCUGGUAGUCCACGCCCUAAACGAUGAGAACUGGAUGUCGGGAGGGUUUGCCUUCCGGUGUCGUAGCUAACGCGUUAAGUCGUCCGCCUGGGGAGUACGGCCGCAAGGUUG
rnacentral:rRNA from 1 species